rnacentral:rRNA from 1 species
UACGUAGGGUGCGAGCGUUGUCCGGAAUUAUUGGGCGUAAAGAGCUUGUAGGCGGUUUGUCGCGUCUGCUGUGAAAAUCCGGGGCUCAACCCCGGACUUGCAGUGGGUACGGGCAGACUAGAGUGUGGUAGGCGAGACUGGAAUUCCUGGUGUAGCGGUGAAAUGCGCAGAUAUCAGGAGGAACACCGAUGGCGAAGGCAGGUCUCUGGGCCACUACUGACGCUGAGAAGCGAAAGCGUGGGGAGCGAACAGG